GCAAGUCGAACGAGAAAGCUCCCUUCGGGGAGUGAGUACAGUGGCGAACGGGUGAGUAACGGGUGGGAAACCUGCCUCUCUGCGGGGGAUAACAUUCCUAACGGGGUGCUAAUACCGCAUGGUCCGGUGCAUCGCAUGGUGCGUCGGUAAAGAUGGCCUCUACAUGUAAGCUGUCACAGAGAGAUGGUCCCGCCUCCCAUUAGCUUGUUGGUGGGGUAAUGGCCUACCAAGGCGACGAUGGGUAGCGGGGUCGAGAGGCUGAAC
rnacentral:rRNA from 1 species